rnacentral:tRNA from 1 species
GGAGGGUAUAGCUCAGUGGUAGAGCGUGUGCUUAGCAUGCACGAGGUCCUGGGUUCCAUCCCCAGUACCUCCA